ACGCUCGACACCUACGGGAGGCAGCAGUGGGGGAUAUUGCACAAUGGAGGAAACUCUGAUGCAGCGACGCCGCGUGAGGGAAGAAGGUUUUCGGAUUGUAAACCUCUGUCUUCGGUGACGAAAAUGACGGUAGCCGAGGAGGAAGCCACGGCUAACUACGUACCAGCAGCCGCGGUAAUCUGAGCGGGCUGGCAAGGC
rnacentral:rRNA from 1 species